rnacentral:antisense_RNA from 1 species
GGCUUUUUUUUCCUUGCCUUUUUUCCCCCUCUCCCACCCCCUUCUCUCUGCUGCUCCCCGCGACCUGCGAUUUCCUAGGGGUCCGGAACUCUGUACCCAAGGCACCGGUCACCCCCUCAGGACGGCUCCUAGCUCAUCUGAGAAGCCCCUGUGCCCAUGUCCACCCAUAAGCAGAUGGCCUCCCCCCAACCAUGAGGAUUUUUUAAUGGGGUGAAAAUGCCAGUCCCUGAAGCCAGGGUUCUCGGACCCGCAGGGCCGAGCUGGGCGCGGGAGCCCCGCAGGGGCGGGGAGGCCGACCGAGCUUGAAGAAGUGUAGGAGAGAUCUACACAGCUUAAGUGGGGCGUCCCCAUCCCAUCUUCCUGCGCACCCUCCUUUGCCCCCAACUCCAUCUCUGCGACACUUCCCCACCCCCACCCCCCCAAAAAAAGAAGUCACUCCCGGGCUCUGUCUGCAGAGAGCCAGGGUGAGAGCGGGCAAGGCAAAAGAGCGACCUCGGUCGUGGGCAAGUAGCUUGUUUUUACGUCCUUCAAUAAAAUUUUUAUGAGGAUAA